GUCACCAUGGAAACGGGGCGGCAGCUCAACUGUCAAACAGCUAAAUGCCGUCUCUCACUGUUGUUUUCACUAAUUUCAGAUUCUUCUACGCUGAUAGCUGUGCACUAGAGUUGGAGCGUAUCUCCUGUUGAAGAACAUCUUUAGACAUUAUGAGUCAUAUGACUAAAGAUGGCAGAAAUAGAGGGAGAAGUGGCAGAGUGUUUAAAACAUGCCCCGCAUAAAUGUAUAGGACCAAAAAACCUACGGAUUGAUGUACCCAGAGCAGAAGAUGACGAUGAGACGCAAAUUGGACAGAUACACUUUCACAUUGUUUCACAAAUUAAUUGUUUCACUGAGGUGAUGAACUGAGACAACUGGUAGAUGCAAACAGCUGAUUUUAUUGCAAUGAUUUGAAUUUCAGUCUCCCUGCCUCUUCGAC